GACGAACGCUGGCGGCGUGCUUAACACAUGCAAGUCGAACGGUAAGGCCCUUCGGGGUACACGAGUGGCGAACGGGUGAGUAACACGUGGGUGAUCUGCCCUGCACUUCGGGAUAAGCCUGGGAAACUGGGUCUAAUACCGGAUAGGACCAUGGACUUCACGGUUUGUGGUGGAAAGCUUUUGCGGUGUGGGAUGGGCCCGCGGCCUAUCAGCUUGUUGGUGGGGUAAUGGCCUACCAAGGCGACGACGGGUAGCCGGCCUGAGAGGGUGUCCGGCCACACUGGGACUGAGAUACGGCCCAGACUCCUACGGGAGGCAGCAGUGGGGAAUAUUGCACAAUGGGCGCAAGCCUGAUGCAGCGACGCCGCGUGAGGGAUGACGGCCUUGGUUGUAACGUCUUCAUAGGACGAAGCGCAAGUGACGGUACCGUAUAGAAGAAG
rnacentral:rRNA from 1 species